GCCCAGCUAGCUCAGCCGGUAGAGCACAAGACUCUUAAUCUCAGGGUCGUGGGUUUGAGCCCUGUGUUGAGCA
rfam:Homo sapiens chromosome 16, GRCh38 reference primary assembly.